GAUGGUACAUGAGCCAGAAGCCUCUUCUCAGUUCCUGACUCACAGAAACUAUGAGGCAGAGUCUUGCUCUGUCACCCAGGCUGGAGUGCAGUGGCAUGAUCUCAGCUCCCUACAACCUCCACCUCCCACGUUCAAGCAAUUGCCAUGCCUCAGGCUCCUGAGCAGCUGGGAUUAAAGGACCAAAAAAAAAAAAAAGGAAGGCUGCUUUUGCUCACUGGGAAGAUCCACUGACAAUACAUCCACUGAAGACACGUCUGGGUAUUUUCAUCAUCGCCACCGUCAUCAUCAAUAUAUCAAGUGCCGCCCAUUGA
rnacentral:lncRNA from 13 species